UAAAAUUCGAUUUUUAAUAUGUGAUCUCAGGGGUUCCAUUUUCCCAAUCCCGUUCUCUAACAGCUUCGAUUGCCUAAUCGCUCGACCUCCACUUUGCUUCUCCAGAUCUGUUGAAGGCUUGAAACCGACGGAUCGGCACCUGCUCUCCUCACAACCUUCCUCAGUCUCCGUUCGUGUCGCCUGAUUUGCAGUACUUCCCUCUGAAGGUUGCAGCAGAGGCGCAGGCGUUCUUCACGAGGUUGGACUGACCUGUCAAUUGAUCUGAAGAAGCACCAAGUGCCAGUGACAUUGGAAAAAGUUGUUUAUUUGACUUUAAGACUCUCAGGAACCCUGCUGAUCUAUUUUUUAGCACUAAAAUGGGCAAAGGUUUGAUAUGGGCAACAGCAGAGGAUUUGGCAAGGAAUAGAGGACAAGUCCUAUCUCUUUAUCGCCAACUAUUGCAGAGUAUGAACACCCCUGAUUUGCCACUGAACUUGGCAGCAAGACUGGCCAAAAAGGCCCAGAUUCGUGCCAUCUUUAUGUUGGCUGCAGAAGAGAGAUCCCUCCACAACAUCGAAGAUCUUAUUGAUUCUGCUGAGUACUCUCUUUCUCUCUUAAGAAAAGGCGAAAUCCCCAAAUACAUUCAAUGAUAAAUUAUUGAUAAUCCUGAUGUCAAUCUUUCUCUCCCUCUUGAUGUGACUGUGUAUGGCGGCGACAAUUUUUUUAAGCUUUUUAGCAGUUGCAUAUUGGAUGAAGUUAGAUAGAUGAACAAUGUCCCUGUAACCUUUUUGGUAAUCUGAAUUGACUUUUGUAAGCUUAUUAUUAUUCAAAAGUAAGAUUACCCUAAA